rnacentral:lncRNA from 1 species
AAAGGCUGGAGAAUCGGAGAAGGGAGAUCAAAAGAAUAAAUUCCAGCAAAAUCGCAACUUUCCACAAACGAAGUUUGGAAAUAAAAAUCAAGGCCCAAAAUGAAGGUUUGUUAAAAAUAAUUUCUCAAAAGGUACGUCUUCCUCCCAAUGCCGUAUUUGUGGGAAAUCAAAUCACAAUACGCAAGAUUCUAGAUUUAAAUGCAAAAGGUGUAAAAAUGCUAAUCACUCCCAAAGAGAUUGUUGGUAUAAUAA